CCAGAGAAGAAAAGAAGGAGAAAAGAAAAUAGAAGAAGAGAGGAGAAGAGAAGGAAGAAUUCAGCACUCAGGAGAUCUAACUUUGCAUUUUUCGGCUUUUUGCGACACUGAGAAGAGAAUAGAAUAAAAGUGAAGGCUCUAGGUGGCUAACCCUAAUUCGGCAAAACAAAAAGAAAAUAAAGCUUGCCCUAAUGGCCAUUCAGAC
rnacentral:lncRNA from 1 species